ACUUCAUCUUAGCAAUCAUUCAGACAGUACAGCUUCAGCGACAGGCAAUUUCAGUAAUUGUCACCUCAUUUAGAGAACACUGUCCAUCUUCUACGUCUAAUGCUAUAUCAGGAUUAUUGUCAGAUUUUCUAAAGAGGAAUGCAGGUUGUUCUGGAGAAGGAAUCUCUGUUUCGUUACUCAACAUAAAAACAACUGCCAACAUAGAUGGUCUGUCCGUGGCAUCUUCUUGCACGCACAGUAGACCAAUUUGUAUGCAUUUCAAGGCUUCACGCGGAUGAUACAACUCCUUCAGUGAUGGAUCAACUAUCUCCAAUGCUUUGUCUUCUCUCCAUAAUUCCCACACCUGUGUUGUUCAUAUAAAUCAUUAGCAUACAAGAAAUGAGAGCAGACAACAUCUAAAAUUGUGAACAUUGAAAUUCAACCAAGAGCACUAAAAACUCUCUUGUAACUCACAUAUCCAAUCAAGGUCAAGGGAGGAUUCCGUUGAUAAAAUCUGUUGUUCUUCUUGCCACUCACAAUCUCUAACAACAUGACCCCAAAACUGAAAACAUCUGAUUUUACAGAAAAGUUUCCAAACACAGCAUAUUCUGGUGACAUGUAGCCACUGCAUCAGAAAAACAAGAUUCUGAAGUUUUAGUAUUCCUGGUAAUCAAUGAUAGUACUUUGUCACUCGGUCUUUGUUUUAGGCAAAGGUACUUACUAUGUUCCCACAACUCUCCUUGUCCUAUCUUCAGUUUGGUUGCCUUCAAAUAUUUUUGCCAUUCCAAAAUCUGAUAUUUUUGGGUUCAUCUCUGCAUCCAAUAGAAUGUUGCUGCAUUUUAAAUCCCUGUGAAUGAUUCUCAACCUGGAGUCUUGGUGAAGAUAUAAAAUCCCACGAGCUAUUCCAACAAUAAUAUCAAAGCGUUUUCGCCAAUCCAAUAACAAUCUUCUUGUUUCAUCUGUUGAAACAAUUAUUUUUCAGACAACUAGUGUAAAUCAGGGCAAUAAAAACAUAAAGAGACUUACGGAAAAGAAUCGAGUCCAAGCUUUUGUUCGGCAAGUAUUCAUAGAUUAAGAUUUGUUCUCCAUCCUGAGUGCAAUAACCUAGAAGUUUCACCAGAUUCCUGUGUUGAAGCAUUGCAAUUACCAUAACUUCAUUUUUAAAUUCUUCUGUUCCUUGUCUUGAACUUCUAGAUAACCUUUUUAUUGCAACCUCCAGCCCAUUAGCUAGCAGACCCUAAAAUCAUGUUACAAGAUUAAGCCUCUGGACUAAUAUUAUGCAAAUUAGAGAGGCCAUUUAGUUUUUAGCUAAAUGCAAGAAACUCAACCUUAUAAACAGAGCCAAAACCACCUUGCCCGAGUUUGUUAGCUGGAGAGAAAUUGUUUGUGGCCGCCGUUGUGGUGCUGAGCUUGAAAUAUUUCAAUUCAGUAGAAGUGCUGUUUACCUGCAGUUCAGAACCUUUUUUGGCUCUCUUCUUGAACCACAAAUAAGCAAACAGGCUAAUGAGAAACCACAAUAAUGCAAUUGAUGGUGCUAAAAUGGCCUGCAUCGUUUUUUCACGAGAAUCAUUUGACUUCCUUUUAGUAUCAGCUGCAUGAGAAUGAAAAGAAAAAAGAUUAACUUAAUAGGAAAAACCACCCCAUUUUCCAAUGGAAAUAUGACAAUACAUAUGGCAAAGGGUAGCCCUUUUGGCACCUAAAACGUACCAAUAUCUAUGGUUUCUUUCCUGCAGGGAAGAGCUUAUUAACUACAGUCAAGAGCAGUGACAAGCAUAGGAAAACUCUUAUAAUUCAAUAUUUGUGAUGACAAUCCUAUGAAGUAGUUACUGAGCAGAAAAAGGGUACCUAAUUCAUAUGCAUCAACACGAACAUACAGAUCAUAACUGUUACUCCUAUCAUAUCUAAUGUCUACUAAUUCCUUGUACCAAUUCAAACAACCAUAAUUUUUUCCGGGAAUUCCAAUGAUUGCGUAUGCAGAUUAUGAACAAUUCCUCUUGCAUUCCACUUCACAGUCUGCACGACUCUUGCUCAUGUCUACCCAAGCUGAAUCUGAACUUUCCGGAAGAAUUACAUUUUCUACCUUCACAAACCCUUCUCCAUGCUGGCACAACGAAGACGUCUGUAGCCGCUUCCUGACACAACCAUCGGACCCAUCUCUCGUAGACCAUUCCAAUGGGUACUUGGGCUCGAACCCAGGUAAACAGGCACAUUCAAAUCUAUUAUGAUUGGCAAGUUCACACGUACUAUAAGCACCACACAGUCCAUAAUAGUCGCACUGAAACACUGGGGCCUUCCAGUAAUCCUUCCACUGACCAUCACUUUCUCGCCAUGUUAACACCUUUAGAAGUCCUGAAUGAUCUACUAUUAUUCUUAGCAGAUAAGAAUCAUCAGGAACUGUGUAGACCCAGUAUAUUUCAUCUGGAUGAUUGACAAAAGUGCUUUCGUAUAAGCCCAUUUGACUUCUCCAUGGCCAAGGAGGAGAUCUACUAAUUGGCUCUGUACCAUUAUAGACAAAGAUUUGCGGUGAGCCAUUUGGUUUGAUCAUAAGAGAAAAGUCUCCAAUCCCAGGGUCAUCAGCUGAUCUCCAUGAUGUUAGAAACCGAUGAAUUCCUAAUUUUCGAUCGAGCCCCAAUUUCAUCCCAGGUAGGUGGGUGCUUGUAGGAUAAUCGAAGCUUUGCCAUACAAUGUCUCUGCUUCUUUUCCUGACCAAUAUCAAAUUCCCAGAAUCCAAUAGUUGAGCUGCACAUAUAUCAUUUUCUUCCACUGGAACAUUUGUAGACCACACAGGAAGCUUUUGGUCAUCGUUACCACAGAGAACAAGGUUUCCAUAUUGGUUUAUAAACAGAAAUCCAGAGGAACCAAUGAUUGGAUCGUUCCUGUUGGCGACCCACACCACAGUUUGUUCUGGUAUUUUAUGGUACCAAAUUCCAAGAUAUCACAGUUUGUUCUUUUCCUGACCAAUAUCAAAUUCCCAGAAUCCAAGAGUUGAGCUGCACAGAUAUCAUUUUCUUCCACUGGAACAUUUUUAGACCACACAGGAAGCUUUUGGUCAUCGUUACCAUAGAGAACGAGGUUUCCAUAUUGGUUUGUAAAGAGAAAUCCAGAGGAACCAAUGAUUGGAUCGUUCCUGUUGGCGACCCACACCACAGUUUGUUCUGGUAUUUUAUGGUACCAAAUUCCAAGAUAUCUGUUGCUAGAACUACCUGGACAGAAAAAUCCUAGUGCAAAAUUAUUUCCUUUGGAGAUAAGAAGGUCACCUUCUUUAACGGUGUGGUUCGUCUUUAAGGAGUCUUGGGAUGUACAAGAUGAUAAUUGGAGUAUUAUAAGAGAAAAAAGCAGGAACAGUUUUUCAGCUUCCAUGAUGGAGUAAACUGGAUCUUGGCUUCUGGAAAAGUUUUAAAUUUUGCUUUGUGGAGAAUGGAUAUGGCCUUCAGACAAGUCUCCAGAGAAGUUGCGUGACGGAAUUAGGCAUCUCUUUAAUGAGUUACUCUUUUCAACCUUCAAAGUCUAGACAAUGACUUGUUUUUGUUAAAGUAUCAAUCCAGGAUUUUUGGAAACGACACCGUCCUCUAGUUUUAGAAAUAUGUAGGUGAUUGCAGACGCAUACAAAAACAACAUAAAAAAGACAAUAAACACAAAGAAAGAUGGAAUUGCGUCGAAAAAGACAAAAUCAUUCAAACUUUUAUACUCAAAAAUUUUCUAAUUAAAUUUAAAUAUUAAAGCUCUUCUAAAUUAUUAUAUACUAGGAAAAACACCCUGAACAAAGCUUAAAAAUUAAUAAAAUAUUUCUAAAGUAAAUAAAAAAAUAAUCUAAAUUAACUUGAAAAAUAUGAUAUUUUCAAAAUAGUAAUUUCUAGUACUGGUUUGGAGGCCUUAACUUCAUAAAUAAGACCUUUAGGAAUAUUGCCUCUAGAAUCAAAAUUUAUGUCCAUUAUGAUAAGGUCAUGUGUUGGAUGAAAAUCUCCUACAUCAGUCUCUCUAUGUUGAAAAUAACUUGUUUUCAAGUUCAAAUUAUUCUUGUUUUGAUAUCGUGAAUGCUUAAUCAAAGCUCUCAACCUCUUUUCCUUUCUUUUCUUAAGGUAUAUAACAAUACUAGAUAUUGGUUUUAGUUCUUUAUCAACAUAUGUUGUAUCUAUAUAAUCCUUGAACAAUUCUAUCUUUGUAAUAAUAGUAAACUUGUAAUCAAAAGGAUCAACAUAAUCUAAAUCAAUAAUUUAAUUUUAUUGGUCAUCUUCGAUAUUCUAUUUACACUUAAUUUCUACCUUAUCAAUAUGAACACCAUUGAUGACAUUAUUGCUCCUUCGCUAUCAUUGUUUAUGUUAUUAUUAUUAUCAUAAGUGUGGCUAGGUGAUCACACACAUAUAUAAAAUUUUAGUUUUCUUUGUUAUUUUUUUCACUUGGAUCGUUUUUGUUUUUGAGUUUUUUAGAUCUUGAUUAUGGUUCUUGAGAAAUAAUUAGAGUUGUCAGUGUUACGCAAAAAAAUAUGGAAGGAUUUGAUCUUCCAUGUGUUUGGUCUGAUAAAUCCAAGCUAUGUGGUUUUUACUUUGUUGAUUCAACUUUCUAACUUCUUCUUCUUCUUUUUUAUGUUUCAUGUGUUAUGUUGUUGAUUCCUCUUUUUGCUGGAUGAUCUUAUAAGGUUUUUGAAUACCGUAAGGAUCUCUUGCUUUCUCAAUUUACUGUAUUUUGCUGCACUCUACAUCUAUAUUGAGUUUGAGCAUAGCCAGUGUUGUUAUCUAUUUUGGAACCUCACAUAAACAUAAAAAAAUAAAAAAAAUAAAAAAAUAUACAUCAGUAGGAAGAACAUGAAGAAUGUCCAGAAAAUUGUCAACUAGUUGGGAAGAAUCAAAAUAUCCAAAGUUGAAAAAUUGAUAGUUCAAUUUUGACUCGUGAAGGCCCUAUUAAUAAGAAAAAUUCAAUUUGGAAAGAAAAAUUCAAAAUUAGAUGUUUAAUAACUCAAUUGAAAUUUUUCAAGGUUUAAUUGUAUUUAUUGAGGGAUUGAUUGCAAGGAAAAUUGGUUUUUAAGUUCAAUUUGAACUUUAAUGGGAAGAAAUUGAAAUCUGGGGGUUGAAUUGUAAUUUUAAAAGGCUAAUUUAGUUAGCUAAAAACAUGGCAUUGUAUUAUUAAUAUGAUGCGGUGGAUGGAGUGAUGGUGCACCUUUCCGAUGGUGAAGCCUGAAAACAUUUUAAUAUGAUGCAUCCUUAGUUUUUAAUGGAAUCAAGGAACAUGCAUCUUGGGUUAUGUACAGACAGAUUCAAUCCAUUUGGAUCAUUUGUUGCUCUUUAUUCUUGUUGGCUAAUAAUACUCACAGUUUACAAAUUGUCAUUGGGCAUGUGUAUGAGGUCGGAGUUCAUGUUUUUAUCAACGGUCAUACCAAGUCAUAAUAGUCUGAGUUAGAAUAUAGAUGUUUGUCUUUGGUGGUGAUUCAGAAGGAUUUCAGGCCAACGUACAUCUCAGAGGCCAUGUGGGCGGAAUAUAUUUAGCAUGUGAUGUCUGAUCGUGACGUGCGACAAUCAUACUCCGGUGCAGAGAACCAGAACUAGCAAGUUCAUGGUUUUGUUAUCACGCACACUAGCAGCUCCAUUCGAUUCGUUUCACAUGCAAAACGAAUGGUUAGAUUAGUCUCUCUAACACUACAACCCAGUUCUUGCGAAUAGCCCGUAAUUUUUCAAACCAUUAGAUAUUGUAAUCAGUUUCAAGCACUCAUACUCUAGAGUUCGAGAUGAUUUUAGACCAGCGAAUUAAAGAUUAGACGACCCAUCUUGUUGCUAAUUAUGAAUGACUACUUAGUGUUGAGAUGACCGAACUUCACCAAUUCGUAUUGGAGAUGAGAUCACAUAUGAGUGGUACUUGUGCUCCCUCUUAUUCGCCCCACAGUUUAGGCAAAGACCUGCCUUCUCCUCCUCCUCCAGCACUUCUAUUCUAGAUGAAUUGUAUUUGAACUUAUAAAUAUUUAAAUUUGUAAUAAAUAUUUGAUUUUAUAUUAGUUUAAUUUUUUAAAUACCUUUUGUUUCUGCUUAAUAGAUUUUUUUUAAAUAUAUUUUUGAAUUAUUAAUGACAGGGUUACAAACGAACAUAGUUUGUCGGUAUAUUCCAAAAAGUUGAAAAAUAAUUACUGCAAAUAUCACUGUCAUUGUUUACUAACCGACAAAAUAACAUACAAUAUGUUUGACAAUUACAAGUUAAAUUUACCGAUGGACAUACUGACAGUUGAAAAAAAUCAUCAAUGCAAUGACAUGUGGUUUUUCUGUUAGUGAUAUGUUAUAUUCAAUGUUGGAAAUACUGAUGAAAUGAAGCAGGUAAAGUUUUUUUUUUGCAUGCUUUGUACAUUAUUAAAUGUAUCUGUAAAAUUAUUACCGAUAGAUCACAAAUCAUUAACGAGAGUUUUUUCGAUGGAAGAUUUUUGUCUGUGAUCAUGUCGUUAAGGACAUGAAGCAAAGAGUGAACUUCUUCCUAAUAAACAUGUGACUUGGGACGACAUAACAAAUAGAGAUUAAAGAGUCUUGUCGUACCUUGUUUUGCCCUCUUCUUGAGCCACAAAUAAGCAGUUAACAUUUGAUGCAAUUGAUGGUACUAAAAUGGCCAGCAUCGUUUUUUCAAGAGAAACAUUUGACUUCCUUGUAUUAUUAGCUGCAUGAGAGUGAAAAGAAUAAAGAUUCAACUCCGGAGGAAAAACAACAAUACAGAUCUUAUUAACAUUUGACUUUCUCCAAUGGAAACAUGACAAUACAAUUGCAAAGGCUGGCCCCUUCGACACCUAACAAGUAUCAAUAUCAAUGGUUUCUUUCAUGAAGUACAGAGCUUAUUAACUACAUCCUAGAGCAGUGGCAAACAUUGAAAAGCUUUUAUAAAUCAAUAUUUGAAAUGAAAAUUCUAAGAAAUUGUUACUGAGCAGAAAAAAGGCACCUAAUUCAUAUGCAUCAACACGAACAUAUAGAUCAUAAAUUUCACUCCUUUCAUAUUUGAUGUCUACUAAUUCCUUGUACCAUGUCAAACUGUUGAUAAUAGGUAUAUAAAGAACUGAAUGUUGAUGAUAACCAGAAAAACAAAGAACAAAGAACUUGCAAUAAAUUAAGAAUAAAGAGCAUAAUGUUUUUCAUAUUGGUUACUGCCAUCCCUUAGCUUUUAUUUAUAGAUGAAAUCAAUCACAACACAAUUAAGAAACAUAAUUAACAUAAACUUCUUCAUUUAUGGAGCUAUGUAACUUAUCCUAAAUAAGUUUCAUAUCUAAAGGUAAAAACUCACUAAACAACAUUAAGAUAAUGAUGUUACUAAUAGAUAAACAUUAAUGAAAGAUAAUAUAUGGCUGAGACAUUAAUUUCAGCUUUGGUGCCAUAACUUCAACACUCCUCCUUGGUUCCAAAGCUGCACAUUCCUAUCAUCUCCCUUAGAUCUUCAAAUCUAUCUUUAGCUAAAGGCUUGGUGAACAGGUCUGCUAAUUGCUCUUUUGAAGUGCAGUAUAUCAUCUCUAGUUCCCCUUCUUGCUGGAAUUGCCUGAUAGCAUGGAACUUGAUCUUCAUAUGCUUGGUCCUGUCAUGAAAAACAGAAUUCUUUGAAAUAGCUAUUGCUGAUGUAUUGUCACAAAACAAUUCUGUGGGACUUCGUUGAUCAAAGUCUAGAUCAUUCAGCAUUUUCCUUAGCCAUAUCAAUUGCUUUGCUGCCACAUAUGCUGCUUUGUAUUCUGCCUCUACAGUAGAAUGUGCAACCACUGAUUGCUUCUUUGAGUUCCAACAGAAAAUGCUUCCUCCAAUAGCAAAGCAAUAACCUGAGGUGCUCAUCAUUUCUUCAUCACUUCCAGCCCAAUCACUAUCAGAAAAACCAACAAGUUUAACAGAACUUGAUUUCACAAAAUGCAUGCCAAACUCUAAGGUCCCUUUCAGAUAUUUCAGAACUCUCUUGGCUGCAACAAAAUGGAUUUGACUUGGACUUUGCAUGAACCUAGAGAGGUAAUUGAUAGCAAAAACAAUGUCUGGACGUGUAGCAGUUAAAUACAACAAGCUGCCAACUAAACUUCUGUAGGCUUUUCCAUCAGUUUUGGGAGCUCCAUCCUCCUUCAUUAGCUUUUGUCCCAAUACCAUAGGUGUAUUGACUGGUUUGCAAUUUUCCAUUGCAAAUUUUUUUAGUAGCUUCGUUGCAAACCUCUUUUGACAUAGGAAAUAACCUUGCUCCGACUGACUUACUUCCAUGCCUAAGAAGUAUGACAACAAACCAAGUUCAUUCAUCUCAAACUUAUCCUUCAUGUUGGUUUUAAACUCCUCUACCAGCUGCUCCUUGUCUCCUGCAAUCAAUAAAUCAUCUACAUACACUGAUACGAUCAGAGUAUGUUUGUCAACAUUUUUCACAUACAAAGUUACUUCAUUCAUGCUUCUUUCAAAGCCUAAACUCAAAAGAUACCCAUCCAAUCUACUGUACCAAGCUCUAGGAGCCUGUUUAAGUCCAUACAAAGCCUUCUUUAGCAAAUAUACUUUGUUUGAUGUGAUCUCCUUUUCAAAGCCAUCAGUUUGUUCAACAUAUAUUUCUUCAUUUAGAACACCAUUCAGAAAUGCAGACUUAACAUCAAACUGAAAAAUAUGCCCACCAUUUUGUGCUGCUAGAGCAAGCAAGAGUUUUAUUGUAUCAAGCCUAAAUACUGGAGCAAAUGUCUCAGUGAAGUCAAUACCUGGCUCUUGUGAAUAACCCUUCACUACAAGUCUUGCUUUGUGCUUGUUGAUACUCCCAUCUGCAUUCAGUUUGGUUUUGAAAAUCCAUUUCACACUAAUUACCUUCUUGUGAACGGGUCUGUCAACCAACAUCCAUGUUUCAUUCUUUUCUAUCAUCAUGAGCUCCUCCUUCAUUGUAGCUAUCCAUACUUGUGAGUUGAUAGCUUCUUCAAAAUCUAUUGGUUCUACUUCAGCAACAUUGCACCUGCUGUAAAUGUCAGCUAAGGACCUUGUCUCCCUUACUGGUUUGUCAUUGACAAUAUCAUCAUCCUCUGUAGCAUCCAGUUUAAUUUGAUACUCUUGUUUUGUCUCUUCAAUUGAUGCAGCUUCCCAGUUCCAUGUACCAUUCUCUGCAACUUUUACAUCUCUUGCAAUCACAACUUUAUUAGAUUUCAUAUCAUAGAUUUUAUAAGCCUUAGAUUUUGUGUUAUAGCCUAUAAGAAUUCCCAUAUCAGCCUUUUGAUCAAUUUUUCUUCUCUUUACUUCAGGUUGCAAGACAUAGCAAGGGCUGCCAAAAACUUUUAAAUGAUCAACAUUGGGUUUAAAGCCAUACCAGAUUUCAUAAGGAGUUUCAUCUCCUAACACUCUUGUGGUCAUAUGAUUUAGAAGGUAAGAUGCUGUGUUUACUGCUUCUGCCCAGAAUUUUAAUGGCAUUUUCUUCUCAUAUAGCAAACAUCUUGCCAUUUCCAUCAAUGUUCGGUUUCUCCUCUCACUGACUCCAUUCUGUUGUGGAGUGUAGGGAACUGUCAGUUGGUGUUUGAUCCCUUCUUUUGCCAAGUAUGCCUCAAAUUAUGGAGAGGUAUACUCUCCUCCAUUGUCAGGUCUCAAUAUCUUCAAUCUGUUUCCUAUUUCUACUUCAACUGCUGCUUUGAACUUAACAAACUCAGUAAACACAUCAGAUUUUGAUUUCAGAAAGUAAACCCGGCAGUACCUACUAUAAUCAUCAACAAAUAGAAGAAAAUACUUUGAACCAUUCAAUGAUUCAUUAUGCAUCGGCCCACACACAUCUGUGUGUACAAGCUGGAGUUUUGACAGUGCUCUAUAUGCAAUGUCAGGAAAAACAACUCUAGUUUGUUUUCCUAACUGACAGGCUUCACAAAUACUCUUUUGUUCCUGUAUAUCUGGUAAACUGUGAGUCAUCUGCAGGUCAGCCAUUCUCUUUAAAGUUGCAUAAUUGAAGUGCCCCAACCGUUUGUGCCAAAGAACAGAUUCAUUGUUCUCAUAAGUGUUAGCACUUAAACAUACUUCUCUCCAAUCAACAUUAAAACUUCUGUUCAUCAUUUUUGCAGAAAGCAGUAGCACUCCAUUUUUAUUGUUAAUAUCACAUACUCCAUCAUUAAAGAUUAUUGAGUAACCAGAUUCAAUUAAUUGUCCCACACUAACUAGAUUCUGAUUGAUCUUAGGUACAUAAAGAACAUUUUUAAGAGUUUUUGUACCUGACAAUGUUUCUACUUAAAUUGCUCCUUUUCCUUCAACCUUCACAUAGUCUCCAUUGCCAAUUCUAACUCUAGAUAGAUAGCUUUUAUCCAAGUCUCUGAAUAAGCUCAAAUCUGCUGUCAUAUGGUUAGUGCACCCACUAUCAUUGAGCCAUGAUGAGUCGUUUGCCUUUGCUGUGUUACACAUCUCCUGUAUUGUAGCUAUGAAUAAAAGAUCUUCCUUAACUUUUGAACAAUCGGCUACUUGAGCUUGUUUUACUGUUCCUGUUUUAUUUUUGUAGAAUCUUUGAAUGUGACCAAAUUGCUUGCAGUUUCGGCAUUGUGCAUUCUUGAGCCAACACCAGGCUUCAAGAUGAUUUGUUUUCUGACAGAAUUUGCAAGCAGGAAAAUGUUCUUUCUUCUCUUUCCUUCUAGUGAAGUUGUUGUUGUUGUUGUUCUGUUGCCAGUUAUUGGAUUGCCAGCCUUUCCCUUUUUUCUCUUUUUCCUUCUUGAUUGUUUUUGUAAAAAUUCUUAGCCCGACUCUUCUCCUUGUAAACUGCAACAAGAGCUCCUUCACUUGAUCCUUCUUGUCUAUAAGCUUGCCUUUGCUCCACAGCUUGCAAUGCAUUUACAAGUUCUUGCAGGCUCAUUUAAGAGAAAUCUUUAGAAUCUUCUAAAGAGCAAAUUUUAUGUUUAAAUUUUUCUGGUAGACUUACCAUAACUUUCUAUACUAUUCUUGAAUAUGGAAAAUCUUCUCCCAAAAGUCUCACUUGAUUCACAAGUUUUGAAAUUUGAGAAGAGAAGUCUUUGAUGGUUUCAUUUUCUUUCAUCUUUAAACCUUCAACCUUUCUUCUAAGAUUUAAAAUCUGCAUCUUCCUUGACUUCUCAUCACCAUGAAAUUCUGCUUUUAAUUUAUCCCAUGUUUCUUUGGCAGAUUUACACGCCAUGAUCCUUGUGAAAAUGUCUUCACUAACAGCAUUAUGAAGACAGGUAAGAGCUUUGAAUCGCUUUGCCUUUUCUUCAGUAAAAAAUUUCAUCUGUGCAAUCGUAGGAUUGUUUCCUAGUGGAAUUGGUUGCUUAUCGCUCUCCGAUAUCUCCCACAAGUCAAAAGCUUUGAGAUAAGUUUCCAUUUUCACAGCCCACACACCAAAAUUCUGCCCUGUGAACACUGGUGUUUUUGCUGGAAAAUUUAUAGAAUCCAUUUCUUAAAAAAAAAUCACUUAAUCUCCCGUGUUUUACUCACUAUCCCUUCAAAGAAAAAUGCUUUGAUUUAACCUCACUAAUCUCUCGUGUUUCACUCACAAUUCCUUCAAAGAUCAAAGAAUGCUCUGAUACCAAUUGUUGAUAAUAGGUAUAUAAAGAACUGAAUGUUGAUGAUAACCAGAAAAACAAAAAACAAAGAACUUGCAACAAAGAAUAAAGAGCAUAAUGUUUUUCAUAUUGGUUAGUGCCAUCCCUUAGCUUUUAUUUAUAGAUGAAAUCAAUCACAACACAAUUAAGAAACAUAACUAACAUAAACUUCUUCAUUAAUGGAGCUAUGUAACUUAUCCUAAAUAAGUUUAAUAUCUAACGAAGUAAAAACUCACUAAACAACAUUAAAAUAAUGAUGUUACUAAUAGAUAAACAUUAAUAAAAAAUAACAUAUAACUGAGACAUUAAUUUCAGCUUUGGUGCCAUAACUUCAACACAAACAACCAUCCCCUUUUCCAGGAAUUCCAAUGAUUGCGUAUGCAGAGCAUGAACAAUUCCUCUUGCAUUCCAGUUCACAGGCUGCACGACUCUUGCUCUUGUCCAUUCAAGCUGCAGACGAAGUGUCCGGAAGACUGUAAUUCUCUAUCUUCACAAACCCUUCUCCAUGCUGGCACAACAAAGACGUCUGUAGCCGCUUCCUGACACAACCACCAGAUCCAUCUCUCGUAGACCAUUCCUUUGGGUACUUGGGCUCGAACCCAGGUAAACAGGCACAUCCAAAUCUAUUAUGAUUGGUAAGUUCACACGUACUAUCAGCACCACACAGUCCCUAAUAGUCGCACUGAAACAGUGGGGUCUUCCAGUAAUCCUUCCAGUACUGACCAUCACUUUAUCGCCAUGUUAACGCCUUUACAAGUCCUGGAUGAUCCACUAUUAUUCUUAGCAGAUAAGAAUCAUCAGGAACUGUGUAGACAAAGUACUUUUCGUCUGGAUCAUUUACAAAAGUGCUUUUGUAUAAGUCCAUCUGACUUCUCCAUGGCCAAGGGGGAGAUCUACUAAUUGGCUUUUUACCAUUAUAGAAAAAGAAUUGUGGCGAGCCAUUUGGGUUGAUCCUAACUGAAAAGUCCCUGAACCCAGGGUCUUCAGCUGAUCUCCAUGAUGUUAGGAACCGAUCAAUUCCUAAUUUUCGAUCCAGCACCAGUUUCAUUCCAGGAAGCAGGAUGUUCGUAGGAUAAUCGAAGCUUUGCCAUACAGUUUUCCUGCUUCUUUUCCUGACCAAAAUCAAAUUUCCUGAAUCCAAGAGUUGAGCUGCACAAGUAUCAUUUUCUUCCACCGAAACAUUUGUAGACCACACUGGAAGCUUUUGGUCAUCUUUCCCAUGGAGAACGAGGUUUCCAUAUUGGUUUGUAAAGAGAAAUCCAGAGGAACCAAUGAUUGGAUCGUUCGUUUUUGCAACCCACACCACAGUUUGUUCUGGUAUUUUAUGGUACCAAAUUCCAAGAUAUCUAUUGCUAAAACUGCCAGGACUGAAAAAUCCUAGUGCGAAAAUAUUUUUCUUUGGAGAUAAGAAGGUCACCUUCUUUACUGGUUUGGUUCGUCUUUAAGGAGUCUCGGGAUGUAGAAGAUGAGAAAUGGAGCAUUAUAAGAGAAAAAAGCAGGAGCAGUUUUUCAGCUUCCAUGAUGGGGCAAACUGGACCUUGGCUUUUGGACAAGUGAAUUGUUGCUUUGUGGAGAAAGGAGAUGGUCUUCAGACAAGUGUGGGACCAUUAGAGAAGCAGCGUGAAAAAAAUGGUUUUUUUUUUUGUUUAUAGUGGUAAUGAUUUUAAAAAUAAAAAGUUAAAUGUAUUAAAAUAAUUUUUUUAUUUUUUUUUUAAUAUUAACCUAUUAAAGUAAUACAAAAAUAUAAAAAAAUUAAUUUUAAAUUAAUUUUUUUAAUUUUUGCAAAUCUUCAUUUAGACCACACUCCCAUGUCAUCAUAUAAUCGUGUCCUUUGUAUUCUAUAUUCGCUAGAAGGCAACUCAACUUUUUUUUCUUUUUAUGUUUGAUUUUAAUUUAUAAUAAACUAAUUUGAUAUAAUAUAUAUUAUGGUGAUAUCUAAGAUUUCGGAUGAUUAUUUAAGACAUGUGUUCUCUAAAUACCUCAAAUUUGUGAAGCCAGCCACCUAAGUCCAGCCACCUAAGUCAACAAAGGUGGGAGUCAACAAUGGUGGUGAAGCCAUCCUUCCUUAGUCACAAAUUGUAGGCACCAAACUUGUGCCACUUGCCUUGCCCCUUGUAUUUACAUGGAUGCUUGCCUAUAAAUAGGCAAUGCAUCCAAGCAUUGUAAACACACCACAAGAGAGAAAAUUGAGAGCAAGUAGAGUGAGUGAAGAGAGAGUAAUCCCACAAAAGUUGUGAGGUAUUUGUGAGAAAGUAAGUGAGGUGUUUUCUCCUAGUAAUAGAGAGAUUUCAGUUGUUCUCCUAUUGAUAGAGAGAGGUUGUAAUUCCCACAUUACUUAGUAAAAUUCUUCUAUACUUGUCCGUGGACGUAGCCAAAUUGGGUGAACCACGUAAAUUCUUGUGUGUCUAAUUUCUCAUUUUAUCCUAUCCUUUGCCUUUUAUCUUGUCGGGUUUGCAUGCCAGUAUCCUAACAGUGGUAUCAGAGCCUUCUGGUUGGUGUUGUUAAUACACAAAAGUUAUUCGUGUAUAUGGUUACUAUUCACGUCUACGGCACUAUUCACCUAUACGACACUAUUCAUCCAUACGGUACUGUUCACAUACGUUAUUGUUGGCGUAUAUAGAAAGUCAGUGCGGUGAUUAAAUACAGUCUAGGAAGUUCUGUCUAAGGAGAUUGGGUUUUAAGCGGGACCGUUUGUGACCCCUCCAAUCUUUCCUGGGAACUUACUUAGUGAAGUAUUAUUCACACGAUACUAUUUCUACAUACGUUACAGAUCUGUGAAACGGUGAUAGCUGAAUAGAUCUCGGUGAAUACAAUGGCAGCAAAGUACGAGAUAGAGAGGUUCAAAGGGAGCAAUUUCUCACUGUGGAAAAUGAGAAUCAAGGCAAUCUUAAGGAAAGACAAUUGCUUGGCAGCAAUUGGGGAUCGGCCCGCGGAGAUCACUGAUAAUGCAAAAUGGAAUGAAAUGGAUGGCAAUGCUAUUGCUAACAUACAUUUAGCAUUAGCCGAUGAAGUAUUAUCAAGUGUGGCGGAGAAGAAAACAGCUAAGGAGAUAUGGGAGACUCUAACAAAGCUAUAUGAGUCCAAGUCUUUGCACAAUAAGAUUUUCUUAAAGCGGAGACUUUAUACCCUUCGAAUGGCAGAAACCACGGCGGUAACUGACCACAUCAACACAAUAAGAACUCUAUUUUCACAACUCACUACGUUGGGUCAACAAAUAGAGGAAAGUGAACGUGCAGAGCUUCUACUUCAAAGUCUUCCAGAUUCGUAUGAUCAGCUCAUUAUCAACUUGACCAAUAAUAUCCUCACAGACUAUUUAGUCUUUGAUGAUGUUGCAGCCGCCAUCUUGGAAGAAGAAAAUAGGCGCAAAAAUAAAGGAGACAGAAAUAGUUCAAACCAAGCAGAGGCAUUAUUGGUGUCAAGAGGGAGAUCAACGGAGCGUGGCUCCAGUGGGAGUCAAAGGCAAGGGAGGUCCAAAUCAAGAAGCAAGAAGACUGUGAAAUGCUACAACUGUGGCAGAAAAGGGCACUUCAAAAGGGAUUGUUGGUUUAAAAAGGGUAUAGAGAACACUGCAGAGUCAUCAAAACCUCAAGGAUGUGUUGCAAGCACCUCAGAAGAUGGAGAGGUUUUAUAUAGUGAAGCAGCAACAGUCUCUACAGAUAGAAAAGAGCUCACAGAGGUUUGGGUAAUGGAUUCAGGAGCAACAUGGCAUAUGACUCCUAAUCGAGAUUGGUUUCAUACAUACGAACCCACCUCUGGAGGCUCAGUGUUCAUGGGUGAUAAUCAUGCUUUAGAGAUUGCUGGCAUUGGCACCAUCAAAUUGAAGAUGUAUGAUGGCUUAAUUCGUACUAUUACAGGAGUGCGUCAUGUGAAAGACUUAAAGAAAAAUCUUUUGUCCGUGGGACAAUUUGAUAGUCUUGGCUGUAAGAUCCGAACAGACAAUGGAAUAAUGAAAAUUGUCAAAGGAGCGCUGGUGGUUUUAAAGGCGAGAAAGACAGUUGCAAACAUGUUUGUAUUAAUGGGAGAAACACAUCAUGGGGCAGAAGCGUCAAUCGCAUCAGCCAGUCCUGCAGAAGAGAAGACGAUGAUGUGGCAUCAAAAACUAGGCCACAUGUCAGAGAAAGGUUUGAAAGUUCUCUCUGAUCAGAAGUUACUCCCUGGGCUUACAAAGGUUACUUUACCCUUUUGUGAGCAUUGUGUUACAAGCAAACAGCACAGGUUGAAGUUUGGCACAUCAACAACUAAGAGCAAAUGCAUCUUAGACCUGAUUCACUCUGAUGUUUGGCAAGCACCGGUUGUAUCCUUGGGAGGAGCAAGAUACUUUGUAUCAUUCAUAGAUGACUUCUCCAGGAGAUGUUGGGUGUAUCCAAUUAGAAGGAAGGCAGAUGUGUUCGCAGUCUUUAAAACUUUCAAAGCGCGGGUGGAACUUGAAUCUGAAAAGAAGAUCAAGUGUUUGAGGACUGACAAUGGAGGAGAAUAUACCAGUGAUGAAUUUGAUAACUUCUGUCAACAUGAAGGUAUCAAAAGGCAGUUCACAACGGCAUACACUCCACAGCAAAAUGGAGUGGCAGAGCGGAUGAACAGAACUCUAUUAGAAAGAACAAGAGCAAUGUUGAAGACUGCAGGUCUAGGAAAGUCAUUCUGGGCAGAAGCAGUCAAUACCGCCUGUUAUGUGAUAAAUCGAUCUCCGUCAACUGCAAUUGAGCUGAAGACACCGAUGGAGAUGUGGACUGGAAAACCAGCUGAUUAUUCUCGAUUGCAUGUAUUUGGAAGUCCUGUGUACGUGAUGUACAAUACACAAGAAGUUAGCAAGCUGGAUUCAAAAUCCAGAAAAUGUGUAUUCUUGGGAUAUGCUGAUGGAGUGAAGGGGUAUCGCUUGUGGGAUCCCACUGCCCACAAGGUAGUCAUCAGCAGAGAUGUUAUAUUUGCAGAAGGUAAAAUGCAAAUGGAAGAACAUAAUAGCAUUCCAAAGGAGACUACAGCAGUCCAGAUGGAAAAUACUCAAAAUCAUACUUCUUCUGAAGCUGCACCAGAGCAUGAAGAACAAGAACAAAUAGAGUCUGAAACUCCUGAAGUUCGACGGUCAACUCGUGAAAGAAGACCACCGGCUUGGCACUCAGAAUAUGUUACUGAGAGCAACAUUGCAUACUGUCUUCUAACAGAGGAUGGAGAGCCAUCAACUUUCCAUAAGGCUAUCAAAAGCACAAAUGUAUCUACGUGGAUGACAGCAAUGCAAAAGGAGAUUGAAGCUCUACACAAGAACAACACUUGGGAUCUUGUUCCGCUACCACAAGGAAGGAAGGCCAUUGGCAACAAAUGGAUUUACAAGAUAAAGCGUGAUGGCAAUGAUCAAGUGGAGCGGUACCGUGCAAGAUUGGUGGUGAAAGGAUAUGCUCAGAAAGAAGGAAUAGACUUUAAUGAGAUAUUUUCUCCAGUGGUACGACUUACUACAAUCAGAGUAGUCUUGGCAAUGUGUGCUAUAUUUGAUCUUCACUUAGAGCAGUUAGAUGUGAAAACUGCAUUUCUUCAUGGAGAACUUGAAGAAGAAAUUUAUAUGCUCCAACCAGAGGGUUUUGCUGAAACAGGCAAGGAGAACUUGGUUUGCAGGUUGAACAAAUCUCUAUACGGUCUCAAACAGGCGCCGAGGUGUUGGUACAAGAGAUUUGAUUCCUUCAUAAUUAGCCUUGGGUACAACAGACUUAGUUCAGACCAUUGUACGUAUUACAAGAGGUUUGAAGAAGAUGAUGUUUUCAUCAUUUUGUUGUUGUACGUGGAUGACAUGUUGGUAAUAGGCCCCAACAAAGAUCGAGUCCAAGAAUUGAAGGCACAAUUGGGUAGGGAGUUCGAUAUGAAGGACUUGGGACCAGCAAACAAGAUUCUAGGGAUGCAAAUUCACCGAGACAGAAGUAAGAGGAAGAUUUGGCUUUCUCAGAAGAAUUAUCUGAAGAAGAUCUUGCGUCGCUUCAACAUGCAAGAUUGUAAGCCAAUUUCCACCCCACUUCCUGUUAACUUCAAAUUAUCCUCAAGUAUGUCUCCUAGCAAUGAAGCAGAGAGGAUGGAGAUGUCUCGAGUACCGUAUGCAUCAGCAGUGGGAAGUUUAAUGUUUUCCAUGAUAUGUACAAGACCAGACAUUGCACAAGCAGUGGGAGCAGCUAGUCGAUACAUGGCAAAUCCUGGUAGAGAGCAUUGGAAUACUAUUAAGAGGAUCUUGAGAUACAUCAAGGGUACCUCAGAUGCCGCAUUAUGUUAUGGAGGAUCAGAAUUUACUGUCAGAGGUUAUGUUGAUUCAGAUUUUGCUGGCGACCUUGAGAAAAGAAAAUCCACUACAGGCUAUGUGUUCAUAAUUGCAGGAGGAGCUGUGAGCUGGGUCUCUAAACUUCAGACUGUUGUAGCUUUAUCCACAAUAGAAGCUGAGUACAUGGCAGCUACACAAGCUUGUAAAGAAGCAAUAUGGAUGAAGAAACUUAUGGAGGAGCUCGGGCACAAACAAGAGAAGAUUCUUUUGUAUUGUGAUAGUCAGAGUGCCUUGCAUAUUGCAAGGAAUCCAGCGUUUCAUUCAAGAACAAAACAUAUAGAUGUUCAGUAUCACUUUGUUCGCGAAGUGGUGGAAGAUGGAAGUGUGGAUUUUCAGAAGGUUCACACAAAGGAAAACCCAGCAGAUGCUUUGACUAAACCAGUCAGCACUGAUAAGUAUAUAUGGUGCAGAUCCUCUUAUGGCCUAGUAGAAACGUAAGCAGCAUGAAGAUAGCAAGUAUAGAAAGAAUAGAAGAAUCACAGAUGAUCAUGUGUGAAGACUUGAUUAAAUCAUCAAAGUCUUCAAGUGGGAGAAUGUGAAGCCAGCCACCUAAGUCCAGCCACCUAAGUCAACAAAGGUGGGAGUCAACAAUGGUGGUGAAGCCAUCCUUCCUUAGUCACAAAUUGUAGGCACCAAACUUGUGCCACUUGCCUUGCCCCUUGUAUUUACAUGGAUGCUUGCCUAUAAAUAGGCAAUGCAUCCAAGCAUUGUAAACACACCACAAGAGAGAAAAUUGAGAGCAAGUAGAGUGAGUGAAGAGAGAGUAAUCCCACAAAAGUUGUGAGGUAUUUGUGAGAAAGUAAGUGAGGUGUUUUCUCCUAGUAAUAGAGAGAUUUCAGUUGUUCUCCUAUUGAUAGAGAGAGGUUGUAAUUCCCACAUUACUUAGUAAAAUUCUUCUAUACUUGUCCGUGGACGUAGCCAAAUUGGGUGAACCACGUAAAUUCUUGUGUGUCUAAUUUCUCAUUUUAUCCUAUCCUUUGCCUUUUAUCUUGUCGGGUUUGCAUGCCAGUAUCCUAACAAAAUUUACUAGAUUAAUGAUAUUAUUGAAGAUGAUGGUUUUUCAAUUAAGAAAGAAUAUUAAUUUGGUGAAAUUGGCCAUAUUGUGAUGCAAAGAUAUUGUGAAUAUCACAAUACAUGACUUUAUUCUUAGUUUAUUGUGCAUGUUAUGAGAUAAAUUGAAAUUGAUUUGUCCUCCAAAAUCAUAAAUCAUAUAAUUGAGAUAGUAAAAUUCAAAAAAAAAAAUACUUUGUUGUUACUAAUCUUAAAAGGGAAAGAAUUGAUACAAUGGCGGACAUCAUAAGUUUUAAAUCCAUAAAACAACUAUUUAUUUUUUGUAUUUAAUUUUUUCAAUUUUUGUAUUAAUUUUUUCAAUUUUAUUCAUCUAGUCGAAUUGAUAGUAAUUUUCAAUUUUUUUAUUUAAUUUUUUCAAUCAUUGUUCAUCUAGUUGAAUUGAUUUUUUUUAAUUAAGGAUUUUUACAAGGACUAAAUUACAUAAAUGUUAAGGGUGUAAUUUCAUAUUUUAGAUUAGGACACAACUGUUUUUUAACUAACAAAUAUUUAUCGGACAAAACUGUUUUUUAACCUGUUAUACCCGCAAUCUAGUCAUUCAUCCCAUUGAAUUUAAUAACAUAUUUUUCAUUUUGUUACACAACAAUGCUUUUCUAUAUUAAAUUAAAAAAAUAAAAAGAGAAUGUAUGCAUUGCCUGAGCAAUGAACUCAAAAGCAUACCAAAUAAAAUAUCAUGAAGUUAAUAUAUUAUAUUUAUAUUUAAGCAAUUCAUUUAAUCUAACUAAAAAAACUGAACUUUUUGUUUUUAAAAAAACUAAAUUUAACAAAGAAAAAUAAAAAAAAAACCUAAGAGCUUCAACAAAUAAAAAACAAAAUGAACUGAAGCAAAUCUUCUAAAUUUAAAUUAAUUUCUCAAACUUAUAACUUAUUAAAUCCUAGAUUUAGAUUUAAUAAAGAAAUUUAAUUCAAUGAUAAAAAAUAAAAUAAAAAAAAAUCUAAAAAAAAAUUGUCAAAGCAAUAAAAGUAGCAAUAAAAAAAUAUUGAUCCAACUGAGGGUUCAACAUGGCUGAUCAUUAGCCUAUUUGGUUAUUUGUGGCUCAGGAACAGAGGGAAAAAGGUAAAGACAAAGCAAGCAUCAAAACAGAAGGUAGAUAGAGUAACUGUCCAUAAAAGAAUAGUUGACGAACACCACCCCUAUAGCAUAACAUAUGAUGAUGCUGUUAGGUUUCUUCCUUGACACUACGCAGAAUGGAUCAGUUGUUUAGAAUCAGGUUGGGAGUUUUAGCAGGGGGUACGUCUAGUGCUGAAGAGCUUGAUCUGUUGUGAUGUACAACAUAUUUGUUUUCAUUACAAAUCUAAUGGAACUUCAUAUUAGCAAUUAUUCAGACAGCACAGCUUCAGCGACAGGCAAUUUCAGUAAUUGUCACCUCAUUUAGAGAACACUGUCCAUCUUCUACGUCUAAUGCUAUAUCAGGAUUAUUGUCAGAUUUUCUAAAGAGGAAUGCAGGUUGUUUUGGAGAAGGAAUCUCUGUUUCGUUACUCAACAUAAAAACAACCGCCAACAUAGAUGGUCUGUCCGUGGCAUCUUCUUGCACGCACAGCAGACCAAUCUGCACGCAUUUCAAAGCUUCACGCGGAUCAUACAACUCCGUCAGU
rnacentral:lncRNA from 1 species